CACACACUCACAGUUAACAAAAAAAAAAAAAAAAAGACUUCUCUAUCUUUAUCAAUCUCUCUCAGCUCCUCUCUCUCUGCAUCUAUUCUUUACUCAGUUCUCGAGCUCUGCAUUAGCGUACAGUGGCAAUGUCCCCGUAUUUCACGGACCACCAUAGCCUAUGCAGAGUCCCUCUUGCAAUCGGGUACCUCUACCUCUCUCUGCUUCUCUCCUCAUUCAUGACAGCCCAUGCACAGGUGCUACAAUCCUGUACAGCAACCACAAAUUGUGGGGUGGGCCUUUAUUGUGGAAAUUGCCCUGCUUUAGGCAAGACUCAACCCAUUUGCACCAGAGGCCAAGCUAUCAUACCUAAUUCUAUUAUUAAUGGGUUGCCUUUUAACAAGUAUACAUGGUUAGUUACUCAUAAUUCUUUUAGUAUUGUGGAUGCACCGCCUUUGCCUGGUGUUCAGAGGCUUACUUUUUAUAAUCAAGAAGACACUGUGACCAAUCAGUUGAGGAAUGGUGUGAGGGGGCUGAUGUUGGAUCUGUAUGAUUUUGAGGGCGACAUCUGGCUCUGCCAUUCGUUUCGAGGGCAAUGUUUCAACUUCACAGCGUUUCAACCUGCAAUAAACACUUUGAGGGAAGUGGAAUCAUUCUUGAGCGAGAAUCCAACUGAGAUUGUGACAAUUAUCAUUGAGGACUAUGUUCAUACUCCAAAAGGCUUGAUAAAUCUGUUCACUAAUGCUGGUUUGGAUAAGUAUUGGUUCCCUGUGUCUAAGAUGCCGAAAAAGGGGGAAGAUUGGCCCACUGUGACAGAGAUGGUGCAAGAGAAUCACCGGCUUGUGGUAUUCACUUCUGUCGCAUCAAAGGAAGCAGAGGAAGGAAUUGCUUAUCAGUGGAAAUAUAUGUUGGAAAAUGAGGCUGGAGAUCCUGGGGUAAAACCAGGCUCUUGCCCUAACAGAAAAGAGUCAAAGCCACUGAAUUCCAAAAGAGCAUCACUUUUCUUAAUGAAUUACUUCCCAACAUAUCCAGUUGAAACUGAAGCUUGCAAAGAGCAUUCUACUCCACUUGCUCAGAUGGUUGGUACCUGCUAUAAAGCAGCUAGAAAUGUGAUGCCAAACUUUCUAGCAGUCAACUUUUAUAUGAGGAGUGAUGGGGGCGGUGUUUUUGAUGCUCUGGAUAGAAUGAAUGGCCAGACAUUGUGCGGUUGUAAUACUGUGACUGCUUGCCAGUUUGGAGCACCUUUUGGAUCUUGCAAGAAUGUUGCCGUACCUAAUGUAAGUCCUGUAACAAAUACUGUGGGAAAUACUAGUCCGCUGACAAAUACUGCAGGAAGCUUUUCAGGAUCCGUUCAAUUCUCGAAAUCUGCAUCAACAAUCCAAUCUCCAAAUAGCUUGGUUUUCUACUUGUUCUUUUUCAUUGGCAAUAUUUUUAUCAUAUGAUGGAUACAGUGAAUGAUUUCUGGGAUGGAGGUUAGGGAUCCGCUCCUUUGCUUAGAUGGUUAGCAAGUUACUCCUUUGGUAGAAUUUUAUAGUUUCUGUUUGAAUUCUCCAAUAAGGACUGGUAUGCCAUGUCCCAGCCUUAUUGAGGGGAAGGUAAAGGAAUACUUUCUAGAGAUAUGAAGUGUGAUUGUAAACAAAGAACUUUUGAGAUUCUUAAAUUGAGGCCAAAAGUAAGGAGUUGCGCAGGAGGCUGAGGUAGAUAAUGCCCAACAGCGACCCAGAAUAUGUUAUGAAAUGGUUCAGGCUGUCUUUUUGGGCAUAGUAUUUAGCUGUUGGAGUAAGAAUGAAACACAUGUUGAAGCUUUUCCAGCACGUUACUAGGUUUCAGCCAAUACUUGUAUUACUGCACCCAACAUUUCCUUUUGGUUUGCUUUCCCACUUGCACAAGGGCCAUUAUUAUCCUCUGCAUAUCAUCAUCUGAAUAUCGUGGAGCAUUUAGACUGUCUGAUAAGGAAACUUUCGAGAUUUUAUCUUCUAGAAUGAUACAGGUCAUGUUUUCCAACAUGUUUUAGUGA